rnacentral:rRNA from 1 species
UACGGGGGGAGCAAACGUUGUUCGGAAUCACUGGGCGUAAAGGGCGUGUAGGCGGCUGGAUAAGUGGGAUGUUAAAUCCCCCGGCUCAACCGGGGACCUGCAUCUCAUACUGUUCAGCUCGAGCACAUCAGAGGAGACUGGAAUUCCCGGUGUAGCGGUGAAAUGCGCAGAUAUCAGGAGGAACACCGGUGGCGAAGGCGGAUCUCUGGGCCAUUACUGACGCUGAGGAGCGAAAGCGUGGGGAGCGAACAGG